CUGCCCGGGCUCGCUGCUGAGGCCUUGCAGCGCAGCACAGCACGGGAUACAAAGCCAUGCUGAAAUAAAUAGGGCAGGAGAUCUUUCUCCUUUUUAAUGCCUUUAUUAAAAGUGAUCAGCUCAGGUGGGGAGAACUGACCGGUCGAGGAUCAUGCUGCCGCUGCUCCCAGGAGUGGCACGGAGGAGGAGGAAAAGUGCAGCUUUGUCUGCUAAUCUGUGGGGAGAGCUGGGGCUGCCGUCCUCAGGAGAGCACCAGGAGACUCCUUGCCUCUCCGGUUUGACAUUCAGGGUCCUCUUUCCAGCUGACACAUUGAGAGAAGAAAGCCCAACAGUCAGCAGUGCAUGAUCCCAAACCAAUAUCAAGCCUGACAGGAUACAGAGCUGUUCAGCUGCACCAGUUCUUCAGGAAAUGUUCCUCCUCCCCCUCUGGAGCGAUGAAAGAAAAAAUAUCAAUACCACUCUGAAAAUCAGCAGUGGAAAAUAUGAUAGGAAAUAACCUGUUUCAGACUGUUUCUUGCCAUUUUAUUAAAGAUCAAAUCAAACUUGUCCA